rnacentral:tRNA from 1 species
GGGCUCAUAGCUCAGUUGGUUAGAGCGCACCCCUGAUAAGGGUGAGGUCACAGGUUCGAAUCCCGUUGGGCCCACCA